GAUGAACGCUGGCGGCGUGCCUAAUACAUGCAAGUCGAGCGAACGGACGAGAAGCUUGCUUCUCUGAUGUUAGCGGCGGACGGGUGAGUAACACGUGGAUAACCUACCUAUAAGACUUGGAUAACUUCGGGAAACCGUAUCUAAUACCGGAUAAUAUUUUGAACCGCAUGGUUCAAAAGUGAAAGACGGCCUUGCUGUCACUUAUAGAUGGAUCCGCGCUGCAUUAGCUAGUUGGUAAGGUAACGGCUUACCAAGGCAACGAUGCAUAGCCGACCUGAGAGGGUGAUCGGCCACACUGGAACUGAGACACGGUCCAGACUCCUACGGGAGGCAGCAGUAGGGAAUCUUACGCAAUGGGCGAAAGCCUGACGGAGCAACGCCGCGUGAGUGAUGAAGGUCUUCGGAUCGUAAAACUCUGUUAUUAGGGAAGAACAUAUGUGUAAGUAACUGUGCACAUCUUGACGGUACCUAAUCAGAAAGCCACGGCUAACUACGUG
rnacentral:rRNA from 1 species